rnacentral:tRNA from 1 species
AAAAUUUUAGUUUAAUAAAAAUAUUUCAUUUACAAUGAAAAGAUUUUAAUGAAGAAAAAUUUUA